rnacentral:snoRNA from 1 species
CUGUUAGUAUUCUAGCUCUGGUUUUGUUGUAAGGAUUGGACUACUGUAAGACCACGCAUGUGUCCCCAGACCUUUGUUUCUUCCCUAGGCCAAGACUUGUAAAUGCUGGUGACAAGG